GCAGCAGCCGCGGGAAUACGAAGGGGGCUAGCGUUGUUCGGAAUUACUGGGCGUAAAGCGCACGUAGGCGGACAUUUAAGUCAGGGGUGAAAUCCCGGGGCUCAACCCCGGAACUGCCUUUGAUACUGGGUGUCUAGAGUAUGGAAGAGGUGAGUGGAAUUCCGAGUGUAGAGGUGAAAUUCGUAGAUAUUCGGAGGAACACCAGUGGCGAAGGCGGCUCACUGGUCCAUUACUGACGCUGAGGUGCGAAAGCGUGGGGAGCAAACAGGAUUAGAUACCCCGGUAGUCCCUGUCUCUUAUAC
rnacentral:rRNA from 1 species